AUAAAUUUCUUCUGACCCAGUUAUAUUAUAGCCAACUCAUCUGAGUUGAAUUUUAGAUUAACUCAUCGAUUGCACUUAAUGGACUGGAUCAGGCCAUUAAAAAGCAACUAAAGUGGGCCAUGAUUGGGCUUGUUGAACUUGGCAACUCACCCUCACCGGAAUAAAAAGAAAUAACGAUCUUUGUAGAGCUUGAGGAAGAAAGAAUCAUGAAACAAUCGAGAGUUAACUAAUCUCUCGCUCCCCUUCAGAGAUGUAUGUGUUUGGAGACACUGAUCUUCAGCAGCCUUCUUUCAGAUCAAACAGGUUUGUCGUUGAGAUCCAUGUUGAUAUCAGGUCUGGAGAUGGUGAAAUCAGUGUAAAGCUUCCCUAACAUGCUCGGUAUCAGCCUCUUGAAGAGAGUGGAUACUUUAGAGUGGAGUUUGGAGAGCCAGACUUGUUCCUUUGCUCAAGACAUGUACCAAACCAGGGACAAGAACAAAGAAGAUGAUUGGUUCUGUCCAUUGCUGGAUCGAAAACCGAAACCAGAUCCCUUGUCUUGGGAAAUCCCUCCCUGCUGGAACCAAGAAUCAUACAGAGUACAUAUCUGUUAUUACAUUUGUGGCUGCGGCUCUAUCUGCGUUUUCGAUCAUUGUUGCAUCUGCCUUGAGCUCAAUGGUUGAAACUUGCAAGAAUACAAAGCAGUCAUGAAUCAGCUUUUGGUCUUCUUUGUAAUUUUGUUUCCUCUCAAAUCUCAAUACCAUUCGG